GACGAACGCUGGCGGCGUGCCUAAUACAUGCGAGUUGAGCGCUGAAGGUUGGUACUUGUACCAACUGGAUGAGCAGCGAACGGGUGAGUAACGCGUGGGGAAUCUGCCUUUGAGCGGGGGACAACAUUUGGAAACGAAUGCUAAUACCGCAUAAAAACUUUAAACACAAGUUUUAAGUUUGAAAGAUGCAAUUGCAUCACUCAAAGAUGAUCCCGCGUUGUAUUAGCUAGUUGGUGAGGUAAAGGCUCACCAAGGCGAUGAUACAUAGCCGACCUGAGAGGGUGAUCGGCCACAUUGGGACUGAGACACGGCCCAAACUCCUACGGGAGGCAGCAGUAGGGAAUCUUCGGCAAUGGACGAAAGUCUGACCGAGCAACGCCGCGUGAGUGAAGAAGGUUUUCGGAUCGUAAAACUCUGUUGGUAGAGAAGAACGUUGGUGAGAGUGGAAAGCUCAUCAAGUGACGGUAACUACCCAGAAAGGGACGGCUAACCACGUG
rnacentral:rRNA from 1 species